rnacentral:rRNA from 1 species
CGUUAUGACUCUCAACAAUGGAUAUCUCAGCUCUCGUAUCGAUGAAGAGCGCAACGAAAUGAGAUACGUGGUGCGAAUUGCAGAAUCCCACGAACCAUCGAGUCUUUGAAUGCAAGUUGCGCCCGAGGACAAUCGGCCGUGGGCAUGUCUGCCUGGGCGUCGAGC